UUGCACAAUCCAACGAUUUGUUUAUGCUCGGAAUAUCGAAAUUAUAUUUUCGAAGUUUAUCAACGAUGGCAGUAGACAGAGAGACAGAUAUAUAUAUAUAUAUAGAGAGAGAGG